rnacentral:rRNA from 1 species
GAUGAACGCUGGCGGCGUGCCUAAUACAUGCAAGUCGAGCGAACAGACGAGGAGCUUGCUCCUCUGACGUUAGCGGCGGACGGGUGAGUAACACGUGGAUAACCUACCUAUAAGACUGGGAUAACUUCGGGAAACCGGAGCUAAUACCGGAUAAUAUAUUGAACCGCAUGGUUCAAUAGUGAAAUACGGUUUUGCUGUCACUUAUAGAUGGAUCCGCGCCGCAUUAGCUAGUUGGUAAGGUAACGGCUUACCAAGGCAACGAUGCGUAGCCGACCUGAGAGGGUGAUCGGCCACACUGGAACUGAGACACGGUCCAGACUCCUACGGGAGGCAGCAGUAGGGAAUCUUCCGAAAUGGGCGAAAGCCUGACGGAGCAACGCCGCGUGAGUGAUGAAGGUCUUCGGAUCGUAAAACUCUGUUAUUAGGGAAGAACAAAUGUGUAAGUAACUAUGCACGUCUGGACGGUACCUAAUCAGAAAGCCACGGCUAACUACGU